UACGUAGGCAGCAAGCGUUGUUCGGAAUUACUGGGCGUAAAGAGUGUGUAGGCGGUGCUCUAAGUUCGGUGUGAAAUCGUCCCGCUUAACUGGGAGGGUGCGCCGGAAACUGGAGUGCUCGAGCGUGGGAGAGGAAAGGCGGAAGUUCCUGGUGUAGCGGUGAAAUGCGUAGAUAUCAGGAGGAACACCUGCGGUGUAGACGGCUUUCUGGACCAUUGCUGACGCUGAGACACGAAAGCGUGGGUAGCAAACAGG
rnacentral:rRNA from 1 species